UACAGAGGUCCCAAGCGUUGUUCGGAUUCACUGGGCGUAAAGGGUGCGUAGGUGGUGAGGUAAGUCGGAUGUGAAAUCCCGGGGCUCAACCCCGGAACUGCAUUCGAUACUGCUGCGCUAGAGUACUGGAGAGGAGAUUGGAAUUUACGGUGUAGCAGUGAAAUGCGUAGAUAUCGUAAGGAAGACCAGUGGCGGAGGCGGAUCUCUGGACAGUUACUGACACUGAGGCACGAAGGCCAGGGGAGCAAACGGG
rnacentral:rRNA from 1 species